rnacentral:rRNA from 1 species
UACGAAGGGGGCUAGCGUUGCUCGGAAUCACUGGGCGUAAAGGGUGCGUAGGCGGGUCUUUAAGUCAGGGGUGAAAUCCUGGAGCUCAACUCCAGAACUGCUUUUGAUACUGAGGAUCUUGAGUUCGGGAGAGGUGAGUGGAACUGCGAGUGUAGAGGUGAAAUUCGUAGAUAUCGGGAAGAACACCCGUGGCGAAGGCGGCUCUCUGGGACGGUACUGACGCUGAGACGCGAAAGCGUGGGGAGCGAACAGG